CCAUGAAUUUGGUAGGGCCCUACCCAUAUGACAAUGUGCUAUCAGCUGCAGCCUGAUCAUUGGGGUUGCUACACAAUGAAGAAGUCUGUGACCUCAGCUGUGAGCAAACACUUUCUGUUGGGGGAUUAUGAGCACCAGCCUGGUCAUUAUGGGACUAUCAGUAGAAAAAAUAGGCAGCAAGGGGGGCUGCACGGAAAACUCAGAAGUGCCUCUCUCUGAGUCCAUUUGUUCAAGAACUCCUCCUAAAGGAUAUGGAACUAAAAGAUGACAGCAUCCCAACACAAUGUUACAGAAGGAGAAGCAUGGGAGCCACAAGGAACAGGAAUCUAGAGGGAAAGGCCAGAGAGGGUGGCAGUCAAAAACUAGUACAAUAGUCCAAACAGUAGCAAAUGUUAUCCAAACGCGCGCUCUCACCCUCACCCACGUCUGAUGCCUUCUGGGGGCUAUGAUGACUUCUCAGUGUUACAGCAGCAGCAGCUGGAUUAUGAAGAGAUUUUCAGAACAUUUGGAAAAAACAGUCUCACAUACUCCAAGCUGUCCAAACACAUUUGGCGAUGUGGUUAAAGAUAAUAGGAGUUAGCUGGAUACUUUCAAGAUUCAUUUUCCCAGCCAAACUAAACAAUUUGUUUGUAUUUCCGUUGAUUAUUUUUAAAAGCCUUUUUUAAAGGCACAUAUCUAAAUAGCCGUGCUUGCCUGCUGAAUAGUGUUUCUGUGUACUGUUUAAUUGCCGCCACAUUCCAUGCAGGGUGUCUGCAGUGAUUAAAAUGACUCCUCUUUGUGGAGCAUGAGUGAAUGCUUUGAGAUCUUUUAGACUGAAAUGGUUAUGGAAACAAAACAUUUUUAAUGUUGUUCCGCACAAAGGGAAUGAUGUAAAUGUCUAUUAUUCAUCUCUUCUGGAGUAUACUGAAGUCUAGAGAAACUUUAUUCUAUCAGAUCAUAUAUAUAAAUAUCUGUAUCCCAACUAGAUGUAACUGUUAAGUGAAAAGAGUUGUUUGCUGUGAACCAGCAGCUACCCGAUGCAUAUUUUAGCUUCCUUGCACCAGAGGUGAAUAAACUUUUUUCCCUUCUGAUUGCCUUUCAUACACUAGAGUUCUUUCUUACAUAAAAGGCUGUUCUACUUUUGAAAUUCAUAUCCAUAAUGCAGAAAUCUCCAGAUCUUUCUGGUAAAAACAUUCAAAAUAUGUGUAGAAACAUAUAUUGGCUUCAUAGUUUGGGGAACAUCUUAAUUUAUUGUUCCAGGUAAAUAUUGCUUGGGGUCAAUAUUUAUCUCUCGAGGCAACAAAUCUUGUUGCCCACCUUAAAGGAAGUUAAAGUAAUGUUAUGCACACAAUACCAGCAUUUCUAUACCAUCUCUCAAUGGUACAGGGUUUGCUGAAAAAAUAAAGUUGCAUGCAUUGCUUUAGAUAUGGUAUUCUUUAUGCAGAAAUGGUAUUUGAUAGCUGGUAAAAAAUAAGUAUGAAAUUUUGUAGGUUUCCCCCCAGUUUGUAGUAAUUGUUGCA